rnacentral:rRNA from 1 species
CCCGCUCAGAAACUCAAAUGAAUUGACGGGGCCGCACAAGCGGUGGAGUAUGUGGUUUAAUUCGAUGCAACGCGAAGAACCUUACCUGGUCUUGACAUCCCGGAGACCCUUAGGAAACUAGGGGGUGCUUCCAUCUGGAAGAAUCUGGAGACAGGUGCUGCAUGGCUGUCGUCAGCUCGUGUCGUGAGAUGUUGGGUUAAGUCCCGCAACGAGCGCAACCCUUGCCUUUAGUUGCCAGCAGUUCGGCUGGGCACUCUAAAGGGACUGCCGGUGUUAAACCGGAGGAAGGUGGGGAUGACGUCAAGUCCUCAUGGCCUUUAUGACCAGGGCUACACACGUACUACAAUGGCCGAUACAAAGGGCAGCGACACUGCGAGGUGAAGCCAAUCCCGUAAAAUCGGUCUCAGUCCGGAUUGGAGUCUGCAACUCGACUCCAUGAAGUUGGAAUCGCUAGUAAUCGUGGAUCAGCACUGCCACGGUGAAUACGUUCCGGCCUU